CAACUUCUUCAGGCUGGCUGGUCUCCAGGCUGGGUUGGACAAAUAUCUCUCCAAAGGCUCACCCUUAAGCACAACUAGGAGC
rnacentral:pre_miRNA from 1 species